GCUGGACAUGGUGGCACAUGCCUGUAAUCCCAGCACUUGGGAGGCUGAGUCAGGAGGAUCAUGAGUUCAAAGCCAGCCCCAGCAAAAACAAGGCAUUAAGCAACUCAGUGAGACCCUGUCUCUA
rnacentral:sRNA from 1 species